rnacentral:tRNA from 2 species
GUCAAGUUAGUUUAAUAUAUAAAACAUCAGCCUGUGGAUUUGAAAAUAAAAUUUGUUUUACUUGACCU